rnacentral:rRNA from 1 species
AGAGUUUGAUCCUGGCUCAGGAUGAACGCUGGCGGCGUGCCUAACACAUGCAAGUCGAACGGGCUUGAUUCUUGGAGGCUUCGGCCAAAGAGGUUCAAGCUAGUGGCGGACGGGUGAGUAACGCGUGGAGAACCUGCCCUGUACUGGGGGAUAACAGUGAGAAAUCACUGCUAAUACCGCAUAAGCGCACGGCACCGCAUGGUGCAGUGUGAAAAACUCCGGUGGUACAGGAUGGCUCCGCGUUGGAUUAGCCAGUUGGCGGGGUAACGGCCCACCAAAGCGACGAUCCAUAGCCGGCCUGAGAGGGUGAACGGCCACAUUGGGACUGAGACACGGCCCAGACUCCUACGGGAGGCAGCAGUGGGGAAUAUUGCACAAUGGGGGGAACCCUGAUGCAGCCGACGCCGCGUGAAGGAUGAAGUAUCUCGGUAUGUAAACUUCUAUCAGCAGGGAAGAUGAUGACGGUACCUGACUAAGAAGCCCCGGCUAACUACGUGCCAGCCGCUGC